UCUCUCUCUCCCCCUCUGCUCUCUCUCUCUCUUCCCUUCUCGCCCAAUCUCUCACCGGACAAUCGCCAGAGUUUUCACGAGUAAUCACCGGAGUAAGCUCUCUAUCGUUCUCCUUUGGACCUGAUCGAGUCGCUGUUGAUGGAUUGAACGGAGUUUUCCGAACAAUCAUCGGCUCUUUUCUCUUUCUCCCUCAUCGGACGUCUCAUUUUCAUAAAACGCCCGCCGCCGCCGGCGAAUCCUCCGAAGCACCAAGCGACCUCGCAGGAGGACAAGUUCGUCGACGAGGACGUCUUCUUCGAUGAAACCGUCGUCAUUGAGUACGAGAACUCCCUCAUCCUCCGCGACCGCGACGAGAGCCACAUCAUCACCUCCCGACUCUCACCUCCGCCUCGCGCAAUGCCGGUGCACAUACUAUUGCAUUGGAGCAGAAGACCGAGAAGCUGUGGAAGUUUUUCUAUGUUAAGUUGACAGGUCGGAAUAAGCACAAGUCGAGUUCAUGCUUGAGGUACUGUAGGAGUGGAAGGAUUGCUAACAACAAGAUGGAUCCUUAAAGGAAGUGGGCAAGUAGUGGAUGGUGAUAAAGGGGUUGUCUACACCCACAAGGAUCUCCACAUCAAGUCCUAAGCCUAUGGAUAGAGUCACAAACAUCCAUCACAGCCUUUGCCGCUGCCUCUUCUAUGUCCCUGCUGAGGAAAGGGAGGUUUUUGGCAAUGUGGUCGAUCGCACCUGAAAUUCUGCGCGUGCCUUAUGGUCCAAAAGCCAAUAGUUGGAGUGCUGGGGUGAUUGUUUACAUUCUCUUACGCUCCUCCAUUUCGGGGUGAAGACGAGCAUGACAUAUUUGAAGAGGUUUUGCAUGGUGACCUUGACUUCUCAUCAGAUCUUGGCCUAGUAUGUGACGAUGCAAAAGAUUUAGGGAAGAAAUGCUACAUAGUGAUCCUAAAAAACGGCCAACAGCUCAUAAAGUUCUUUCUAAGUUUUUCUUCAUUUUUUUUUCUUGUUUUUGUCAAUAGUGGUUCUUAGCCUAGAGUGUACACAAAUUGUCGAUGUAGGUGAGAAAUAAUUAUUUCUUGGAUUUGGAAUGAAAGUUCAUAUUAGUGCUAUAUUUAGUAUGGACUAUGAGAACUUUAGUAGGUAAUUUGCUGCUUUGAUUCCAUGCAGCGCAGGUCCAUGGGUUCAAGUUGAUGGAGUGGCACCAGACAAGCCUCUUGA